ACAGCUCCCCAGCUGUAUGUGGCUGUGUGAAGCAACACUCUUGAGAGGAAGAUCAGAAUAAAGAUGAAAGUCAAGGUCUGUUCUCCAUGCCUAGCCUGAUGCAACACCCCACGCACUGGUUGAGAAAGUUUCUCUCCAUCGAAUUCCAUGCAGUUGUUCUGGAAAGGAAUGGCAAAGCUGUGCAAGGCUUCACAAUGAAAAAAACCCCUCUUCCUGUAAAGGCAGGACCCUGCCAAAAUAAAUAGGGACUGCAGCAAACGGUACAGAUGGUCAUUUCUUUUAAGCACGUGUAUAGGAUCUCAGUGUAUAUAACAUUGCUGUUAAAGCUAAGAAGAGUCAACAGAUGCCACUACCCAAAGGAGAGGGGAGAAAGAAAUGAACAAGAAAUGCAGACAUACAGUUUUUGUGUCAAAUAAAGAAGCCAUGCCCAGGUAACCGUGUCAGGCAUGGUGCAAUUGUAAAGGUAAGCAUUAAACAGAAGAGCUUUAAUGUAAGGAUGGUAACUUUUCACAGGAAUAUGUGACUAUGUCAGGGUGUA